UCGAGAAUCUUUCGCAAUGGGCGAAAGCCUGACGAAGCGACGCCGUGUGUGCGAUGAAGGCCUUCGGGUUGUAAAGCACUUUCGCCUGGGAACAAGAGACGCUGGCUAAUAUCCAGCAAAUUUGAGGGUACCAGGUAAAGAAGCACCGGCUAACUACGUGCCAGCAGCUGCGGUAAUACGUAGGGUGCAAGCAUUAAUCGGAUUUAUUGGGCGUAAAGGGCGCGUAGGCGGGAAUGUAAGUCAGGUGUGAAAGCCCGGGGCUCAACCCCGGAACUGCAUUUGAUACUAUAUUCCUAGAGGAUAGGCGGAGAAAAUGGAAUUCCACAAGUAGCGGUGAAAUGCGUAGAUAUGUGGAAGAACACCAGUGGCGAAGGCGGUUUUCUAGCUUAUACCUGACGCUGAUGCGCGAAAGCAAGGGGAUCAAACAGGAUUAGAUACCCCCGUAGUCC
rnacentral:rRNA from 1 species